GCCAGGUGUGGUGGUGUGCAUCUGUAAUCCCAGCUACUUGGGAGGCUGAGACAGGAGAAUCACUUGAACCCUGGAGGUGGAGGUUGCAGUGGGCUGAGAUCGUGCCACUGCACUUCAGCCUGGGUGACAGAGUGAGACUCUGUCUCCA
ensembl:misc_RNA Metazoa_SRP Metazoan signal recognition particle RNA